GUGGGGAAUCUUGCACAAUGGAGGCAACUCUGAUGCAGCGACGCCGCGUGAGCGAUGAAGCCCUUCGGGGUGUAAAGCUCUUUCGACGGGAACGAUAAUGACGGUACCCGAAGAAGAAGCUGCGGCUAACUACGUGCCAGCAGCCGCGGUAAUACGUAGGCAGCGAGCGUUGUUCGGAAUUAUUGGGCGUAAAGAGUGCGUAGGCGGUGCUCUAAGUCUGUCGUGAAAUCUCCCGGCUCAACUGGGAGGGUGCGGCGGAAACUGGAAUGCUAGAGUGUGGGAGAGGUAAGCGGAAUUCCUGGUGUAGCGGUGAAAUGCGUAGAUAUCAGGAGGAACACCCGUGGUGUAGACAGCUUACUGGACCACGACUGACGCUGAGGCACGAAAGCGUGGGUAGCAAACAGGAUUAGAAACCCUUGUAGUCC
rnacentral:rRNA from 1 species